GCGGAUGUGGCGGAAUUGGCAGACGCGCUAGAUUUAGGUUCUAGUGGAUUAUAUCCGUGCAGGUUCGAUUCCUGUCAUCCGUA
rnacentral:tRNA from 5 species